rnacentral:rRNA from 1 species
AAAUUGACGGGGCCCGCACAAGCGGUGGAGCAUGUGGUUUAAUUCGAUGCAACGCGAAAAACCUUACCUACCCUUGACAUGUCUGGAAUCUUGGUGAGAGCCGAGGGUGCCUUCGGGAGCCAGAACACAGGUGCUGCAUGGCUGUCGUCAGCUCGUGUCGUGAGAUGUUGGGUUAAGUCCCGCAACGAGCGCAACCCUUGUCACUAGUUGCCAUCAUUUGGUUGGGCACUCUAGUGAGACUGCCGGUGACAAACCGGAGGAAGGUGGGGAUGACGUCAAGUCCUCAUGGCCCUUAUGGGUAGGGCUUCACACGUCAUACAAUGGUCGGUACAGAGGGUUGCCAACCCGCGAGGGGGAGCUAAUCCCACAAAGCCGAUCGUAGUCCGGAUCGCAGUCUGCAACUCGACUGCGUGAAGUCGGAAUCGCUAGUAAUCGUGGAUCAGCAUGUCACGGUGAAUACGUUCCCGGGUCUU